GCAUGUGAAGGAGUUGGUGAGUGCAAUCCAGGCAGUCACAUCAUUGCUUGUCAGGAUUAUUUUAGCUGAUUUGUCUGACUGGGCAGGUGUCCCCUCUCUCCCUCAGUGCUCCAUGUGCAUCCCUCUUGAAGCUUCGCACUCUGUUGAAGAGGACAUUCAUCCCAGGUAGAGAGGGGGUGGGGAAAUUGGGCCAAUUGAAUAUAAAUUCCUUUUCACAUCAAGGCCACUUAACUGGGAUCCAUUGAUUUACCUAAGUU
rnacentral:sRNA from 1 species